rnacentral:pre_miRNA from 1 species
UCUUCAUUCCAUGAGCUAUCUCACUGAUCAGACAGACGAGAGAGCACGCGAAAUGAAGAGA